UGGGGAAUUUUGCACAAUGGGGGAAACCCUGAUGCAGCGACGCCGCGUGAUUUAGAAGGCCUUCGGGUUGUAAAAAUCUUUUCUAUGGGAAGAAAAUGACAGUACCAUAGGAAUAAGGACCGGCUAAUUACGUGCCAGCAGCCGCGGUAAUACGUAAGGUCCGAGCGUUGUCCGGAAUCAUUGGGCGUAAAGGGUACGUAGGCGGGUAAGCAAGUUAGCAGUGAAAUCCUAUAGCUCAACUAUAGUAAGCUUUUAAAACUGCUCAGCUUGAGGUAUGGAAGGGAAAGUGGAAUUCCUAGUGUAGCGGUGAAAUGCGCAGAUAUUAGGAGGAAUACCGGUGGCGAAGGCGACUUUCUGGCCAUAACCUGACGCUGAGGUACGAAAGCGUGGGUAGCAAACAGG
rnacentral:rRNA from 1 species